rnacentral:rRNA from 1 species
UACAGGGGGUGCAAACGUUGCUCGGAAUUAUUGGGCGUAAAGCGCACGUAGGCGGUUUGUUAUGUCGGAUGUGAAAGCCCUUGGCUCAACUGAGGAAGUGCAUCCGAAACUGGCAAGCUAGAGUAUGUAAGAGGGUCGCGGAAUUCCCGGUGUAGAGGUGAAAUUCGUAGAUAUCGGGAGGAACACCAACGGCGAAGGCAGCUCGCUAGGACGGUACUGACGCUGAGACGCGAAAGCGUGGGGAGCGAACAGG